ACCGGGUUCAGCUCCCGAGCGUGCGAGCGCGUCCCCGCUCGUCGCCCGGCUCGGCGUCGGGAGCGCGCUCUGUGUGGUCGCUGCUGCAGUGUUGUUGUGGCUGUGAGAAGGCGGCGGUGGCGCCGGAGCAGCAGCCGGACCAGACUCCCUAGUAGCUCAGGCGCUGCCCUGCGCCGGCCCUGGCAGGGAGCCUGAUGAGAUGGUGGAGGAGGAGGCUGUGCCGUGGCUGGCCUUGCUGUGUCCUGCUGCCUGGGAGGUGAGUGUGCGCCCUUCGCUCUCUGCCGUGUCUGUGAGGGUCCAUCGUUGCCGGAGACUGGAGGUCGGGGGCUAUGGGAGCCCCGGGGCGAACGGUGCGGACAUGGGCCUUGUGGAAAGGAGGAGUGACCGCCUGAGCGUGCAGCAGGACAUCUUCCUGACCUGGUAAUAAUUAGGCUGGAGUGCAAUGGUGCAAUCUCGGCUACUGCAACCACUGCUGCCCGCGUUCAAUCGAUUCUCCCCUCAGCCUCCCAAGUAGCUGGGAUUACAGAUCCUUCACUGAAUUCAACCCAGUCUACUCAACAGUUCACCAAGAGUCUUGCUAUCUCCAAUUUCAGGAUAUGCUUUCCAUCACCAAUACCCAGAAAAUUAUCACUGCAAAGCUGAGCAGUUUCUGGAGAAUCUUGGCUCAUUCACUGAAUUCUUCGGGAAGGGCUGCUUCCCUUUGCACAUCUUCACUAAACUUGGACCUUUUUGAUGACUCUCAUUUUCUAUCACCACCAUAGUCUUUAGAUGUCCAGUGGAGCAGGGAAACUGAUGGUUUCCUGCACAGGUUGCUCGGGGCAAAGAUGGAAGUUGGAAGUAAGGAAAAGCAUGGAGUUGGAAUUGGAUGCUGAAAGCUGAAGCAAAAGAGUACUCAACGUCUCUAUGGUUUUGCUUUGUGCUGGGCCUUCCUAAACCUUGUGAACACCUGAUAAAUGUUCAUUUGAUUAUGUCAAGCUCUUUGGAGCAGUAGCUUUCAACCCUGAUUAGGAUGUCAGAAUCCUUUGGAAGAAUUUUUUUAAAAUCUAUGGGCAUGGAACCCAUCCAUCGGUAUUUUUAAAAAUUUCCCAGGUGGUUUCCAUGAGUAGCUAAGGUUGAGAACCAUGGUUUUGGAUUUCCCACUUGAUGAUUUUAAACCAUAACAUCACUUUGCCUAUUUUUCUAAAUAUUCCUCUUUCUACAGUCAGCUUUCAAAAGUCAGACUACAACUGAAUCAAAGAAUUACACAAGAAAGGGGAAACUGAGCCAUCCUUCAGCAACUCCAGGAACAAAUCAAGGUACAUAUAAUGAUGGGGUAGUAAAUGCUAAUAUCGUCUAUCUCCUUCCCUUGUAUCUAUCCCUGUUUUUGUUCCCCUCUGUCCACUCUGGCUUCCUAUUCUCCCUUUGUGGCAAAAUAUCCACUAUUCUUGAAGACAGCAAACCAGCAAACCUGCUAAUAUUAAAGCUUCAGUGACCCAGUAGGUAGCUACACUUUGAGGAACAUUUGCAUUUCCAAAGAAAUUAUCUGAAGAGAAAAAUGUCUAAUUCAAUGGGCUGAAAUGCAAAUUGUUAUAUUUCAGGCUAGAAAGAUAUCUAACCCAAGGAACUUCCUUAUCAUGCUCUGGGAGACAGUAGGCUGCCUCAUGGAAGGCCGUUAUAGAUGUCUAACUAAACAUUGCAAAAAAUAGAAGCAUUGGCUUGGGACUGAGAAAUGAUAUGCAUUUGGUGCAAAAGUAAUUGCAAUUUUUGCCCUUGAAAAUGAUGGUUAAAACUGCAAUGACUUUUGCAUCAACCUAUGGAUUAGUAAUUGAUACACAAAGACAUGACACAUGAGAAUACCAACUGCACUGCUUGGCACAUAGUAGACAUUCAACAAAUGCUUCUCGCUGACAACUUUUGCUUUCCUCCUCAAUCACCCACUUUUUAGAAUCCUUGAAAAAAUCUUACAAAUUUUUCAAAUAUUCAGGAAACUUAAAUAACAUCAGAUUUAGAGAAGAAUUAUUGGCUGUAGCCAAUUUUUGGACCUAUACAUUUUUUAAACUAUGUGAUAGGAAUCUCUUCAUUUUUUAGAGCAACAUGGAUGCAUAUCAAUUACAAACCUUGCUAAAUCAUCCUUUCUAUCUCUGAGGCAAUAAAAUUCAUUAUCCUGGUUAGUUUGAGGAUAUACUUAACCCAUAAACACCAACAGCAAGUAUAGAUUCAGACAUUUGUAUCUAUAAUUUAGACAGUUUAAAAUGCAAUAUUAAGUAAUUCAAAAAUUGUUCAAAGCUCAGUACCUUUUCACACAUUAAUACUUUGAUUAUCAACUUCCUUUUAAAGAGUGAGUAGAAAAGGGUUAGUAAGUAGAAAAGAGUAAAAGAGGCCUUUCUUUCACAACUUGCCAAGACAUGCAUUACUUAUUUAAAAUUUAAAAAAAAAUGCUGUUUGAAAAACAAGAAGGAUGGCAAGAAUGAAGCUCCUUCAUGCAAGAUACCUCUGACUACCCUCUAAAGACAGAUACUAUGGCAUGGUCAUAGAAUUACUGCAGGAAAAAAUUUGUCCACUGAGGCUGCUUCCUCCAGAGGUAAGGUUUAACUUAUGGUAACUUGCUAUGGAUCAACAGCUCAAGAUGAAGUGUGUGGCUGGCAAUUUAAGUGUAAAAUUAGAUUUCCAGUAUAAUCAGUCAUCUGAUAGCCCAUCUAAAUGUAUUCUGCAUUUGCACAUUUAAUUAAUUAUGUCUUAAUUGAAAACAUUUUGCUCAUAACGAUUGGUUCUAAUUUUAUUCCAAAUUAAAUUAGUAGGGGAGAAAUUUAGUUUGGGAAUUUAUUGAUUUAUAUAUAUAUUAAAGAAAAAGUAAAAAUAAUGGAUUUUCUCUUUUCUUCUUAAAAGGAAAUAUCUUUCUGCUCAUUUAGAGGUGCAAAGGAAAACAUUUAGAACUUUCCAGAUGAAUAAAUUGCAUUUCAUCUGAAUGAACACCUAACUUUGGAGAUGGAGAGAACAUUCUUUUGUAUUGUUGUAGAUAUGCCUAGUAUAAUAUUGGUAUAAUUAAUUUUUCAGCUACAAUGCAGAUUCCUGGGUCAGUGCAAAAGACCUUGUUUAUUUAGAAGUGAUUAUCUGAGAAAGUGGCUCAUUAGUCUUAGAUUCUUGGAAUGCACAGUCUGGUCUAGAGAUUAAAAUAGCUAUUUAAAUUUCCUUUAUGAAAAUUGUGCCUGACAGGGCACUUCCAUGUGCAGUGAGGUUUGUAUUUGCACAUCUAGAGCAUCCAGGAAAUCAGCAAAGGUGGGUUUUGUGUCUUUAGAUAUGCUACAGUUGAUAAACCCUAAGAUUCAGAUAUUAACUAUUGGAUAAGCUCUUGCAUUUCCCAUAACUUUAGCUUUGAAGCCAUUCAUUACCUUAAUACUAAGGAAAGAAUGUCAGAAAAUCCAAAGAGAGAGAAUUCUCAGUUAUGAUUUUUGGACAUAUAAUUGGAAAGAAGUCAGAUUUGGCUUUUACAAUUAGUGCCAUAUAAUGUCACACAAAGUAUUUCCUGCAGUGUGCUCAAAGAGGUCAAUUUGUGAUUUAUUUGCAAGUCAUAGUUCUGAAAUUACUGACUUGUGUGUGUAACAAUUUAGCUUUAACUUGGGCACUUAAUUUAGCAUUAAAUAUAGCUCCUCUUCAAUAUUGACCCUUGCCCUGAACAAGAUGUCAUUUCAUAAACCCAAUUAAACAUGGUGCCUACUGUGGUUUAAAUACCAAGACAGAUUAAAUGUAUUGUCCAGUUUCACAGAUCAGCAAUGCUUCUCUUCCUGUAUCACUAGCUCAUGAUAAUAACAUAAGGGACCAGUCUGUGCCAGUGGAUGGGUCAGAAUUAAAAGAGGAUAAAUAUUGAUGUCCUGCCUGAAAGAAAACUGGGCACCCAAGGUGUCAGAGAGUUGUCUGAUAUACUGUGACAUGAAUGUCCCAUAUAUAUAAAUUGCAGCCUUUUUAAAAUAAGGUAGAAUUGUUUGUGGAAGAUUAAAAACUCUCUUUCUAAAUUGUUGAAUUCAAAUAUUUAGUUAAUAAAUAAAUCACUGCUAUUUUCAUCAAUAUUGGAGUUGUUUCUUCAAGUUUGUGUGUUUUCUCAAUUAGAAAAAAAGUCUAAUUUGUUUAAAUAGUGAGAAGUCAACAUUGAACUGUUGUCUACUCAAUAGCCACAAUUCCUUAUUUCUUGUUUACAAUGACCAUAGAUUGUUUAUGUUUGUAUUGUUGCAACAAGUUCACAGACAAUGGAUUCCUCUCUCAAUCUGAGAGGAUGAGCCAUGGUUGGUCUAGGCCAUGAAUAUUGUGGUAGAUUGUAUUGUGUAUUCAUAAUUCUUUGUUCUCUGGCCAGGUGCAGUGUCUCACGCCUGUAAUCCUAGCACUUCAGGAAACUGAGGUGGGCAGAUUGCCGGAGCUCAGGAGUUCGAUACUGGCCUGGGCAACAUGGCAAAACCCCUCUCUACUAAAAAUACAAAAAAUUAGCUGGGUAUGCUGGUGCACACCUGUAAUCCCAGCUACUUGGGAGCCUGAGGUGUGAGAAUCACUUGAACCCAGAAGGCGAAGAAUGCAGUGAGCCAAGAUUGUGCCACUGCACUCCAGCCUGGAUUGACAGAGCGAGACUCUGUCUCAGAAAAAAAUAAUUAAAAAAGAUGAUUCUUGUUCCCUCCCCAUCCUUACCUUUUUUUAAUGAGGAAAGAGAAUAUUUCCCUGUAUCACUGACUUUGGGCUUGGCUAUGUGACUGCUCUACCCAAUAGAAUUUGGGUAGGUUAAUAGUAAUAGAAGUAACUAAGCAGAACUUUAAAGAAGCUUCUCCUCUUCAACUCUUGUUCAUAAAGCAUUAUAAAAAUCAAUAUAUAUAAAGCAUUAAAAAAUCAAAUGCCCUAAGUAGUCUGUGUCCUUCAACAUGGGUCCAGGAAUGAGAGACACCUGGAGCACACCUGACUCUCAUCUGUAGUCUAAGGUAGAACUGCUGCAACCAAUUCGCAAAAUUCAUGAGCAAGGAGUAAAUGCUUGCUGUUAUCGGUGAGUAACUUCUUGUCAAGUUUCUUAAGCAUUAUUGGAGCAAAAGCAAACUAAUACAAAUGUUAAUGUAAUUCCUUUGCUUGUGAUUGAUUUAGAGAUGAAUAUUUGUCCUGUUUCCAGGUAAUACAAUGUAUUUAGGAAGAAUGCCAAAGGAGGGAGCUUAUUAGUAGGAUUUUGACCUCUAAUGAAAAUGAUGGCCAAAUAUAUGAAAUUUUUUCUUUCUUUGGUUUUUAUUGUUUAAAGACAUAAUUAUUUAAGUUGUGUUAGUUGUGUGUGAUCUUAUAACUAUGAGGAAUUACAUAGAAUGAAAAUGGAAUGUGCUGUGGUGGCAGAACAGAAAGAAGUUGGGUGAUUGACAUUGUUGAGCUGCUGCAGGAAAUCUGUUAGUCUCCAUUUCCGGAGGUCUUGCUAUGUAGAAAAAUUGGAUGACUUUAUUGCUUAAGUCACUAUAAGAAUGUUUUCUGUUACCUGCAACCCAAUGCACCCAACUAAUAAAGUAUGUU